rnacentral:rRNA from 1 species
AACGGCCAUAUCAUGCUGAAUAUACCGGUUCUCGUUAGAUCACCGAAGUCAAGCAUCAUUGGGCGCGGUCAGUACUUGGGUGGGUGACCACCUGGGAACACCGCGUACCGUU